ACUCAUAAUUAAACAAAAGUAUUAGUAAAAUGUCAAGUUACAGCCUUACUCUCUCCCUUCUCCAGAUUCACGAACCACGACAAACGCGCGGCCGCCUCUGCCUCCAGUCCAGAUCGCUCCUUUGCUCGCUGCUGGCCUGCGGCUGCCUCUGCCUGACUGCCUCCGUGGCCGUUCGUCGAUCUCUGUUCAAUGGAAAAAUUCCCUACCCAUACAAAUAACUAAAAAUGCAAUCUGAACGAAAAAGAAAGCUUACAGGAAGAAACCCACUCUCCGAUUGCACCAACACUUGUUCUUAUUCUUCCUCUGUUCCUCUUAAAUCCACCAAACCCUAUCGUUCUUCUUCUGCGUUAAAAAAACCUCACACCGAAUUCACGUCAACUACCGGGAAUCUCGAUGGUGCAUCAAACCCUAACUCUCCUCCAUCUACCUUUCUUUCAACUCCUUUGCCUAAAACAUUGUCUUGUCGCAGGACUGUUGAUCUUGAAGCUUCUGAGCCUAUUUCUAUAGUAUACAGCCGAAGAACCUCUUCAAAUAAAAGAAAGGAUAUAGGGAAGGAAGUGGUCGUUCCAGCCCAUAACACACCUAUUAGAAGAAAGGAUGUUGCGAAGGAAGUGGUCGUUUCUGCUAGUAGCACGUCCAUUAGAAGGAAGGAUAAAGAAAAGGAAGUGGUCAAUCCUGUGAGUAGCACACCCGUUAGAUGGAAGGAUAAAGGGAAGGAAGUGGUCAUUCCUGCAAGUAGCACACCCAUUAGAUGGAAGGAUAAAGGGAAGGAAGUGGUCAUUCCUGCAAGUAGCACACCUAUUCAAGGGAAGGAAGUGGACAUUCCUUCAAGUAGCACAACCAUUUUGAAGGUCUCUAAUACUAGGCAGCCUCUUGGGUUUCAAAACCUUGCGAUGAAGUCAUGUGAAGCUUUCAUGAAUAGAUUACUAAGUCCGAAUUUAUCCCUUUUUGUUUCACCUCUGCCUUAUCAUGUCUCUACAUUCAUGCCCUUAAUAUUAUUGUUACCCUCAUUCUUUUGCAUGUUCCUUUUUCAUCAUAUAAUACAGUGAGAAAAAUGAUGGGGUAGAAGGUGCAAAUCUACCCAAGGUCAAGGCAAUGACAGUCCCUUGUAGAAAGAAGCACCGUGCCAAGUCAUCUAAACAAGACGUGUUCAAAGAUCCCAUCUUGCAAGAUUAUAUUGAAAAACAAAAUGCUUACUUUAAAAUGAUUGAUGAAUUUGAACUAUCAGAGGAGGAGGUUGAAACAGUUAGUGAUAACUAGAAAGUGGUAAAGUGAUUGAUGAAUUUGAACUGCCAAAAGAAGGAGACUAUAUCUAUUGAUAACUGGAAAUGUGAUGAAGAUGUAAUGUAAUGUAAGUAUAAAUAGCAGCUUGAAGCUUCUUUGUCAUGGUAGGUUGUAUAGUUGUGAUAUGAUAGUUUUUUUUCACCAUGAAUUACUACCUCAGUGCCACAUCUCUGACCAAAUAAGUCAAUACAAGUUGAAAAAUCGAAGGAGGCCAAGGGAAAAAUCGAAGUUGAAAUUGUUUAACACUUACACGUCAAUAGUCCUCAUGGAAUCUUCCUCUCUUAUUUCAGUUGUAAAUUACUAGUUGGAAUGUAAUUCUUUCAAUUCAUAAAUUCAUGUUUUUGAAUACGUUGCUUUGUUAGACUCACGUGGAGGCGAAUACAAAGAGAUACAAAAGUUCUGUA